rnacentral:lncRNA from 1 species
CAUGUUCCAGCCGUUCUCCUGUCCGAAGGGUCUUCCAGAUCAAAUUUGCUCCGUUUGCAAACCGGAAGAUGAUUUUCCUAAUGGCUGUAACUACAUUGCUCAUAUUCUGGCUGCACAGACUUGCUCCUGUAUAGCUGCAGUGCAUCUGGGAGGAGCAUUCUGCCGUAUCUCACAGAGGAAUAUCUGUAGCUGUCAACUGGCACAUUCUUCUGUUGCUAGACUGCUGUGCUGUGUCUUCUAAUAAAGUUGCCCUCUGUUCCACUACAGGGCAGUAAUCUGUAAUGAAAAUUUUAUAUGAGUGGUUAGGAAAUGGAGUUUGAAUCCGGGUUUCAAGUAUGAUUUUCAUAAUACUCUAGGCAUAUAUACACACAGGUUUUGGGGAUUUAGAAAUAAAAGGGAUCAUUUCACAACA